rnacentral:misc_RNA from 1 species
UUGGCGUGUUCAGACGUGGUUGGGCCUCUGUUUCGGCCAGUUUCGAGGCGAGAAGUGCAGCGUCUGUGUUUGUUACACGUGUAAUCAUAGCAUUCCUCUGGUUGCGGUGGCUUCGCGGUGCAAUGGCAAAUUCCAAACCUAAAAAGAGGGGUCUGUGGCUGAAGGCGACAUGGCAAAGGGAGGAGAGGAGGAACGUCCUGCGCAAGUGGCAUGCCCCCUACCACCGAAUGGUACGAACGGUCUGGAGUUGAUACGGCACGGGAUCUGCUGUCCAUUCGGCAGGACCAGCUGGCUGUCCAGCGAGAACUGCUGGCCACACAGCAGGGUCUGCUGGCCACCCAGCAGCAGCAGCUGGCAGUUCAGCAGGAAAUGCUGCUCGUGCAGAGAGAGGCAGUCGAUGCACUCCGUCGACUUGCAAGCGCUGUAGAGGGACAAGCAGCAGCAAGUGCGCACCAGUCGUCCGCACUGACUUCGCUAGUGCUUCAGCUCGUCGGUGUGCAGAAUCUCCAUCCGCCAGCCGAAUAAAGUGGGUCUCUAUGCUCCA